rnacentral:rRNA from 1 species
GACGAAGGAUGCAAGCGUUAUCCGGAUUCAUUGGGUUUAAAGGGUGCGUAGGCGGUCUUAUAAGUCAGUGGUGAAAUCUCUCAGCUUAACUGAGAAACUGCCAUUGAUACUGUAGGACUUGAGUACAGAUGAUGUUGGCGGAAUAUGACAUGUAGCGGUGAAAUGCAUAGAUAUGUCAUAGAACACCGAUUGCGAAGGCAGCUGACAAAACUGUAAUUGACGCUGAGGCACGAAAGUGUGGGGAUCAAACAGG